rnacentral:rRNA from 1 species
CUGGCGGCAGGCUUAACACAUGCAAGUCGCAGCGGAUCUGGAGUGCUUGGACUACCUAUAGUUGCGAACGGGUGACUAAAGCCUAGGAAUCUAGCCGAUUAAUGGGGGACAACAUUCCGAGAGGGAUGCUAAUCCCGCCUCCUCCCUACGGGGGACCUCACGGGACACUUUGGUGCCUCGCGUUAAUUGAUGAGCCUAGGUCAGAUUACCUAGUUGGUGGGGUAAAGGCCUACCAAGGCGACGAUCUGUAGCGGGUCUGAGAGGAUGAUCCGCCACACUGGAACUGAGACACGGUCCAGACUCCUACGGGAGGCAGCAGUGGGGAAUAUUGGACAAUGGGCGCAAGCCUGAUCCAGCCAUGCCGCGUGUGUGAAGAAGGCCUUUUGGUUGUUUAAGCACUUU